UUUUUGGUCUUGUUUUCUAAAAUCGUUUUCAUGUAUUCUCUUGGAUUUUGUAAACUAGCUAGCUUCUCAUGGAUCAGUAGAGUCUGAUACAUAGUGCUAAUGGUUUAACUUUGUAAUGAGAAGAUCUUUAGGGACGAUGGGUAAAAGAGGAAGGGCUUGUGUAGUGGUACUUGGAGAUCUUGGUCGAAGUCCUCGGAUGCAAUAUCACGCUCUUUCUCUUGCUCGUCAGGCAUCAUUUCAAGUAGACAUUGUUGCAUAUGGAGGUUCUAUACCCCAUGAAGCUGUUCUAAAUCACCCAUCGAUCCACAUCCCUACCAUGGCGCAGCCACGAUUCCUUCAGCUCUUUAUCCUGUAACUCUCUUGCUCAAGGCAUUUAUUCAGCUUACAAUGCUUCUCUGGUUUCUUUUCGUAAAAGUACCAGCGCCUGACACUUUCUUGGUCCAGAAUCCUCCUUCCGUUCCAACCCUAAUUGCUGUUAAGUGGGCGAGUUCAUGGAGACGUGCAGCGUUUGUUGUAGAUUGGCAUAAUUUUGGAUAUACAUUGUUGGCAUUGUCUUUAGGAAGAAACAAUAUGUUUGUAUCCUUAUACCGCUGGUUUGAGAAUCAUUAGGGAAAGAUGGCAACAGGUUCACUAAAAGCAAUGCAACAUGAACUGGAUCAGAAUUGGGGAGUGAGAGCCCAAGUGUUAUAUGAUCAGCCUCCUGAGUUUUUCCAUCCCGCUUUACUUGAAGAAAGGCAUGAGUUGUUUUGCCGAGUGAAAAAUGAUCUUUGCCAUCCAAUUAGUAGAGAGUUGGAAAACCAAGAGCUUAAUGAAACCCUUUUUACUACCAAAAUUUAUACUGACAUCUCCCUGAAGCAAAACAGACCAGCUCUUGUUCUGAGCAGUACAAGCUGGACCCCUGAUGAAAAUUUUGGUAUCCUACUAGAAGCUGCAGUAAUGUAUGAUCGGCGUGUGGCUGCAAGAUCCAAAGUAAUUGAAACAGCUGAAAUUUAAGAAGAGCAGCACCUUUAUCCCAAUUUGUUGUUCAUCAUUACAGGUAAAGGACCUGAAAAGGAGAUGUACGAGGAGAAUAUCAAAUGCUUAAACCUCAGACAUGUGGCAUUCCGUACAAUGUGGCUCCCAGCUGAAGAUUACCCAUUGCUUUUAGGUUCUGCAGAUCUCGGUGUCUGCUUACACACUUCCUCAUCGGGUUUAGACCUUCCCAUGAAGGUUGUUGAUAUGUUUGGAUGUGGCCUCCCAGUUUGCUCGGUUUCCUACUCAUGCAUUCAAGAACUCGUUAAAGAUGGAAAGAAUGGACUUUUGUUUUCAUCUUCAUCAGAAUUAGCAGAUCAAUUAUUGAUUCUCUUCAAGGGUUUUCCCGGGAACUGUGAUGCCCUAAUGUCGCUUAAAGUGGGUGCAAUGGAGACUGGUUCUUCGGGUCGAUGGGCUACAGAGUGGGAAGAUUGUGCAAAACCUUUGAUCACUCAGGAAAAUCCGUCGGCCCUCUCUGUAUCUCACACUCACACACACAUACUUUUAUUGGGCUAUUUCUCAUAAGAUGUCUCAUGUCUGAUCUAUGCAGGUCGUGUCUCAAAUAGCAGAUUCAUGAAAGAGAAGACUCAAAAUUGAUGGUCUUGAGAGUUUCUCACAACUGCUUUUGUAGAUCCAAAUUUUUGUACACAAUCAUAUAGAUUACAAGAUUGUCUCGAAAUAUUGUCAAAAUCUGAUUCCGAAAUGAUUUGGCAGGAGUCUUUGUAUGAAUGAGUAAAUGAUAUCAAAAUCUCAAUUAACCAAAAGUAAGGCCAAGAAAAUUUUCUGAAAGGCUCAAAGCAAAUUCCACAGUUUAAUGCUUAAACAAUUAAAAAAAAAA